CUACGGGAGGCACCAGUGGGGAAUAUUGCACAAUGGAGGAAACUCUGAUGCAGCAACGCCGCGUGGAGGAUGACACUUUUCGGAGCGUAAACUCCUUUUAUAUAGGAAGAUAAUGACGGUACUAUAUGAAUAAGCACCGGCUAACUCCGUGCCAGCAGCCGCGGUAAUACGGGGGGUGCAAGCGUUACUCGGAAUCACUGGGCGUAAAGAGCGUGUAGGCGGGUUAAUAAGUCAGAAGUGAAAUCCUAUGGCUCAACCAUAGAACUGCUUUUGAAACUGUUAACCUAGAGGGUGGGAGAGGUAGAUGGAAUUUCUGGUGUAGGGGUAAAAUCCGUAGAGAUCAGAAGGAAUACCGAUUGCGAAGGCGAUCUACUGGAACAUAACUGACGCUGAGACGCGAAAGCGUGGGGAGCAAACAGGAUUAGAUACCCGAGUAGUC
rnacentral:rRNA from 1 species